GGCGUUCGGAGCUGGAACCUCGGCUUGGCGGAGGCAUGGUCUGGGUGCCCAUUCAGACCUUUCCUCUUAAGGCAAAGAGGCCGCUGCAUCAGAAGUAUUCUGGUCCCCUCUUCCUGUGAAAGAUAAGCAAACAGGUAGCCUCACCCGGGGUUAAAAUAUGAGUAAGGAAACCACCUCUUACUGCUUUUAGGGCAAGAGAAUAAUAUGGCCUGAAAUGCUUGCGUUGGUUAGUUAAAAAUACGUCCAACGCACCUGCCAACCAAGAGAGCCCUCUGGCCGCUGUGGAGGGAAUGUUACACAAAGUGGCCCUUACGUGAGUCCCUGUAUCCAGGAGGAUGGUAUUUAUGGUGGCCAGAACUUUGACCCUGCAGAAACUGAUUUGCAAGCAAAUAAAAAUUAGGGCUUUCGUUAAAAACCCAUUUGCGUUUUGUGGAAAGACAAACUUGGAAUCGGCGCUGAUCAUUUUAGAGUGACGUGCUAAAGCUCCUUUCCUGUGAUAUUGGUACAGGUUGUGAAAUAUUAUUGAUCAGCUGGACUCAGCCAGUGACAUCUGCUUUGACUGUUUUAAGAUUUAAAAAUGGACUUUUUUCCUCGCUAGAGGGGUUAUUUCAUAAUGCCAAAGAAGAGGAGAAGAAAUGGAAUCUGGUUCAUUGAUAGUACUGCCGAGUCAUUCUAGAUCAGCUCUGCCACCCCCAGACCUCUUAUUGGGUACCUGAAGCCUCAGUUGGACCUACCCACCAUUCAAACCCCUGUGGAAAAAAGGAGGGAUCAAGUUAUCAGCAAUUUUUCUUUCCAGGAGAAAAGGAAUGGCUCCCUUCUGAGACCUUGGUUGGCUCUGUAAAACCCAAGAUUGACAACCAUGAACUCAUGCUCACCUUGACACUUUCUUGCUCACAUCAUUUGUCUGCCACCUGCCGCCUUGCCCCAGGACCCAAGCAUCGUGCCAAAUUCCAGUGGAAUGCACAACAAUUUCCAUUUCAUCAAAGUCCAUCAGUACUUUUGUCAACAGUAACCUGCCUGCAGCUGGUCUCCUCUCCCAUCUCCCCUUCCACAACUGCCCUGCUCUGACUUGACCAUAACAAAGUAAUCUAAUCUAAUCUGCCUCAGGCAUCCCCUUGUCCUCCCCCAGUGCACUGCCAAGUACCCUGCCAAAGGCCAGUUAGGAGUGUUGGCAUCUGUGUAGAGAGAAUGAAUAACUCUAAUGACUUUGGCAAGUUAAAUGGCUCUCAGAAUGGAAGGAGGAUCUCAUCAUGUUUCAGGGGAUCAUUUAAUUUGUGAUAGAUCAUUGUGUAAUUUCUCAUAUAUGACUUGGGG
rnacentral:lncRNA from 1 species